rnacentral:rRNA from 1 species
UACGGAGGGAGCUAGCGUUAUUCGGAAUUACUGGGCGUAAAGCGCACGUAGGCGGCUUUGUAAGUAAGAGGUGAAAGCCCAGAGCUCAACUCUGGAAUUGCCUUUUAGACUGCAUCGCUUGAAUCAUGGAGAGGUCAGUGGAUUUCCGAGUGUAGAGGUGAAAUUCGUAGAUAUUCGGAAGAACACCAGUGGCGAAGGCGGCUGACUGGACAUGUAUUGACGCUGAGGUGCGAAAGCGUGGGGAGCGAACAGG